rnacentral:rRNA from 1 species
GGGAUGGUUUCUCUAUGCGCGCAACCUGAUGCAGCCAUGCGCGUGUGUGAGAGGCCUUCGGGUUGUAAGCACUUUUGUUGAGGAGGAGGGGAUCCGGUUAAUACCUGGGUUGCAUGACGGUACCCAAAGAAUAAGCACCGGCUAACUUCGUGCCAGCAGCCGCGGUAAUACGAAG